rnacentral:rRNA from 1 species
GACGAACGCUGGCGGCGUGCCUAAUACAUGCAAGUCGAGCGGACUGACUGGGAGCUUGCUCUUGUUCGGUCAGCGGCGGACGGGUGAGUAACACGUGGGCAACCUGCCCGCAAGACCGGGAUAACUCCGGGAAACCGGAGCUAAUACCGGAUAACACCGAAGACCGCAUGGUCUUUGGUUGAAAGGCGGCGCAAGCUGCCACUUGCGGAUGGGCCCGCGGCGCAUUAGCUAGUUGGUGAGGUAACGGCUCACCAAGGCGACGAUGCGUAGCCGGCCUGAGAGGGUGAACGGCCACACUGGGACUGAGACACGGCCCAGACUCCUACGGGAGGCAGCAGUAGGGAAUCUUCCGCAAUGGGCGAAAGCCUGACGGAGCGACGCCGCGUGAGCGAAGAAGGCCUUCGGGUCGUAAAGCUCUGUUGUGAGGGACGAAGGAGCGCCGUUUGAAGAAGGCGGCGCGGUGACGGUACCUCACGAGGAAGCCCCGGCUAACUACGUG